rnacentral:rRNA from 1 species
UAGGGAAUAUUAGAAAUGGACGAAAGUCUGAUCUAGCAACACCGCGUGUGCGAUGAAGGCCUUCGGGUCGUAAAGCACUUUUUGGAAGGAAUAGGAAGGAAUGUACUUCCAGAAUAAGUCUCGGCUAACUACGUGCCAGCAGCCGCGGUAACACGUAGGAGGCAAACGUUAUCCGGAUUUACUGGGCGUAAAGCGCGUGUAGGUGGUACUGUAAGUAGGGCGUGAAAGCUCCUGGCUCAACUGGGAGAGGCCGUUCUAAACUACAGACCUAGAGGAUGGCAGAGGGAGGUGGAAUUCCAGGUGUAGCGGUGGAAUGCGCAGAUAUCUGGAGGAACACCGGUGGCGAAGGCGGCCUCCUGGACCAUUCCUGACACUCAGACGCGAAAGCUAGGGUAGCAA